UUCGGGGUGUGGCCGCGCGGCGAACACGCGUUUCUGCCGAUGGCGCUGGGCCCCUCAACCCUUUCCCCCUUUCAACAAAUCCACUCCAACUAUUACCUCAAGCUUACCCCGCAGGCUAGGUGAAGCACCGGCUCCUUCUUCUUCUCCUGAAAUUCUUUUCCUCCUCCUUCUCCUUCUCCUAUCCCACUCUUCCUUCCCCCCCUCUUCUUUACACACUAGCUUUUUUAUCCGGACAAGCAGCCAGCGCUUCCCUUGUGCCUGAACGGAUCUGAACAGCGUCCCUUCGCCAGUCGCCAUGAACAAGUUCGCUUUCCUCGCUUUUCUCUUCUGUCGUCGUCGUCGUUCAUCCCAACUCCUAUUCUUCCCAUUCUCCUCCUCUUCUUCUUGACCUCCUCCAACAGUCAUUGCCAUCCCCUCUUCCACCUUUUGUCCUUUUCUCUCCAACUCUUCUGCAACCUUCACCUUAUCCCUCUCCCUCCCACCACCAACUCUUCCUCCUUCUCCUCCUCCAUCUCCCUUUCUUCUGCGGCUGCGGCGGCCUCGGGACGCGGAUCCUCGUCGGCGGCUGCGUCUGCGGCAUCGUCGGGGGGUGGGUGGUGGUGGAGGAGGUAAAGGCGAUGCUAAAGCAGCAGCAGAAGAAGUAAGAGGAGAGCUGGAGGACGAAAAGAUGACAAGGAAAAGUCUGCAGAGGACUAAGCAACAUGGUAAACAAGAACUAGUAAAACCAACAGCGAUGACGAAGAUCAGCAAAAGAGGAUUUAAAGAUAGAUCUAAAGUUCUUGUAUUUUCCUUUUGAAUAAAUCAGCAGCCAUGA